rnacentral:tRNA from 1 species
GCCCGCGUGGUGGAAUGGUAGACACAGGGGACUUAAAAUCCCUCGGCUUCGGCCUUGCCGGUUCGAGUCCGGCCGCGGGUACCA